UAAGCAAGCUUUAAUUAAAUUCAAAAGAAACUUAAAGAAAUUACAAAAGAAAUAAUAAAAAAUCUUAAAAGAAUUCAAAAAAAAUCAACACUAAAUUUUGAAAGAAUCUUUAAGAAAUCUCAAUAAAAUCCUAAUUUAAUCCUAAUUAAAAUUCUAAUGGACUUCAAUCAAAUCCUAGGCCAAAUUUUAACUAAAUCCUAAACCCUAAAUCAAAUUCUAAAUAAAUUCUAAAUUCUAAAUUCUAAAUUCUAAAUCAAAUCUUAAUCAAAUCCUAGAUAAAUUCCAAAUCCUAAACAAAUCUUAGAUCCUAAACAUAAUCCUAAUCAAAUCCUAAUCAAAUCCUAAAUCCUAAAUCAAAUCCUAAUCAAAUCUUAAAUUCUAAACCAAAUCCUAAUCAAAUUCUAGACAAAUUCCAAAUCCUAAUCAAAUCCUAAAUCCUAAAUUUUAAACCAAAUCUUAACCAAAUCCUAAACUCUAAAUCAAAUCCUAGACAAAUCUUAGAUCCUAAAUCAAAUCCUAAACCUUAAACCAAAUCCUAACCAAAUCUUAAAUUCUAAUCUAAAUUCUAACUAAAUUCUAAAGCCUAAAUCAAACCUUAAUAAAAUCUUAACCAAAUCCUAAAUCCUAAGAUAGUUUAGAACUUCAAUAUUUUUUGAUUAAACCGUUGAUCUUAUUUAAAUUUUUAUAAAUCUUUGUAUUUCUUAGUUACAAAAAAUUACAAUAAAAUUGAAGACAAUGGAGCUUACUAAAUAGAAAAAAAAAUCCUAAAAACUGCUAAGAUAUUAGUCAGCCUCCUUUUCCAACCUUGAUGCUAAUCUUCAUGUACUAAUAUCUCUUUAAUACAAAAUUUAAUUUAUUUUAAACUUCUUAUAUAUAUAAAAUAAAAAUUCUACUAUCUACAUACAAAACUUCUACUCCAAUUCAAUUUAUAGAUUGCAAGAAAUCUUAGAAAUCUUCACUAAAUCUAAAAUUCUACUUUCCAAGAUUCUAACCUACUUAAACCUCAAUAAUCCUCAAUUCAAUAGUUAGAUCAAGCUAAAAUUUGCAAUACAUAUUAAACACAACUAUAACCAUUGAUCUAUAAAAUUUUAUUUAUAGAACUGCUACAAAAUUCUUGAAAUUACCCAAAAUACCAACCCUAUUUUAUUUCACAAAAAUCUAAGUCAUUUGAAACAAUCUUGACUUUAUAAGGCUCUUACAAAGUCAUUACAAAUCCAAAUCAUACAAAAUCAAUGCUUAUAGAAACGUUAUCAAGUCUGCUAUCAAAUUUUAUUCUGUAAUCUACAUCAGAACCUUGAAAUUAGAAUAAGUGUGUAGUUUUGUGCCUCAGGGUCUGAUUUUGACUUAUGUUGACAAUUGGUCCUCUCUGUGUAUCAAUUCCUAGCUUCUUGAGGUAAAUUUUGCUAAAAUCUACUCUUAACUUCUUCUUAUACAUGCCUAUAUUAUUUAAUUUUUUUAAUUUACUUUAUUUUACUUUAUUUAUGGCCUUGCAAAAUAAAUAGAAGCCCAUUUUGUAAAAAGAAAUAUUAGUACUUUUUAGUUUUAUUAUCUUUUUGACUAUUAUUUAUAUUUCUAAGAUGAUUUGCUAUAAUAUUUUGAACUAAAAUCUUUUAUAAUAUAAUAAUUUGUACACUCUUUCACCUAUUAGCCAUGUUAUAUCAUGACACUGGGUACUUAAUUGUAGAAAGAAGGAAAAUUAUAAUGACAAGAUCCUAAUAAUUCUAAUAGAAUCUUUAAUAAAUUCUAAUUAAACCUUAAUAAUGCUUAUUAAGCUUUAAUCAAAAUCAAAAGAAAACUUUUAAAAAUUACAAAAAAUAUAUUAAAAAAUCUUCAAGAAAUAUUAAAAAAAAAAAAAAAAAAAAAAAAAAAAAAUCUUAUAUAAAUCCUAAUUAGAUCCUAUUUUAAUCCUAAUUAAAAUCCUAAUGAUAAUUAACUUAAUUUUAGGUCAAAUCCUAAUCUUAAAUCAAACCUUGAACAAACCUCAAAUCCUAAACUAAACCCUAGACAUAUCUUAAACUCUAAAUCAAAUUCUAAAUAAAUUCUUAAUCUUAAAUCAAACCUUAGAUAAAUCCUAAAUCUUAAAUCAAAUCCUAAAUAAAUCAUAAAUCCUAAAUCAAAUUAUAAACAAAUCUUAAGUUCUAAACUAAAUCUUAAAAAAAUCCUAAUAUAGAUUAAAAUCCCAAUAUCUAUUAAUUAAAUUUUUGAUUUUACUUAAAACUUUACACACCUUUCAAUCUCUUAUUUAAAAACCAAUGUAAAAAAUUUGAAGAUAAUCGCACUUAUCAAAUAGAAGAAAAAUCCUAAAAUCAACUAAGGUAUUAGCCGGCUUCCUACUCCAAUCUAAAUGUUGAACUUUUAGUCUCAAUAUCUUCAUUUUGAACUAUUGAUUUUUUCCCAAAAUUUACUUAAAUUGUUGAAAAUCAAGUCUAGUUUCUAUACAAAAAUAUUUCACUUUAAUUUAAUCAACAGAUUGCUAAAGAUCUUUAAAAUACUUAUUGAUUUUUAAACACUAAUUUUUGAGACCUUAAUCCACAAAAAAAUUUACAUACUUUGAUUUAAUCAUUUGAUGGACCUUAAAUUGUUCAAAACAUUAACAUCAUUUUUUUUACAAAAACCUAUGUUAUCCAAAACAAUCGUGAUUUUCUAAAGCUCUCACAAAGUCAUUAGAAAUUCAAAUCACCCAAAACUAAUGCUCAUAAAAAUCUUAUUAAGUUUGCUCUUAAAUUGAGCUCUUUGAUCUUCAAAAGAAACUUGGAGUCACCGUAGGUGCAUGAUUUUGUACCUCGAGUGUGAUUUCAAUCCAAGUUAGCAACCAAUCUUCUUUAAGUAUCAAUUCUUGGCUUUUUGAGGUAAAUUUUGCUAAAAUCUUCUCUUAACUCCCUCUCACAUAUUUCUAUAUUAUUUUAGUUUACAAUUUUCUUUGUUUUAUCUUAUUUAUGGCUCUACAAAAUAAAUAGAAGCCUAUUUUGUAAAAAGGCAGUAAUAAUAUUAUUUAGUUUUAUAUUCUUUCAACUUUUAUUAUUAUUCUAAGAGUCUUUGUUAUAAUUUCUUUAAAGUAAGAUUUUAUAUAAUAUAAUAUUUUCUUCUUUCUUUCAUUCAUUAGCCAUGUUACUUCUAUCACAACAUCCAUCUUCUAUGAACUUGUGCAUCCUCCAAUAUGAGUCAUCAAAUUAACUUAUUAUUUAUUUUGGGACAAAAGAAUGCAUGUAGAGUGCCAAAAUUAUAAAUUUUUAGGUGAAGAUGUACUUAGACGAUAUUAAAUAAAAGAGAAUAAUAUUAAUGGAUAAGAAAUGGAGUCUUAAUAAGUCUUGGAGGUAAUUAUUUUUGUUGAUUUAAGAUUUUUAUUUAUUGUUGAAUAGUAAAGAUUAAUUAUUAAGGUCAAUAUUUAUAUUGGCCUUCUAUCUAUACAUAUUACUUAUAAAAAUAACUAUAAAUAUUAGUUAUUAGUUAGAAGAAGCAUGAAAAAGAACCUCAUGUCUUUUUAAUUAUUUAAAUAGAAAGUAGGAUUUAAAGUGGAUUUAAAUUUUUUUUAUUACUAUAAAAAAUCAUCAAGGUAAAAAAUUAUAGCUUCAAAUUAAUUUUAAUAUUAUAAAAAUAUUAAAUAAUUUUUAGAAUUUAUUUAGAAUUUAUUUAGGAAUUUUUAGAGCAAUUUCUAAGACUUUUGUAAAAAUGAGUUUUAUCACUUCGAAAGCCAAUAUGAAGAAAUGGAGUAAGAUUUGAAGGCCUCAUUUAGCUCGUAGGAUAAUUUGAUGUUUUUAAACACCAUAGUGAAGUCGAAAAUGAAAAAUUAUAGAUUUUAUUAGUAGAAAAUAGGAGGACCAACAGCUAGUAUAGUCCUUUUAAGAAGGGAGGUUCAUAAGUUCCACAUGAGUUGUAGCACCUUAAAGGUAGUUAGGAAGAUAAGACUAAGGCCUCAUGGCCUCUCUUAGAGAUCCAUAUACACUACUUGAGAGCUUUGGUGAGGCUCGAACUCCUAAUCUCUUAAACAAGUUAUCUUUGAGAUAAAAAUUUAUUUACUUAAUUUUUUGUUUAUUUACUUGUUAUUUUUCAAACCUUCAUAACUUACUCAUAAUAAUUCGGAUUUAUAUGUUUCUUAUACCAUUGAAAAGAUAAAAAUAUUAAAUUUCUAAAAAUUUAUUUUUUAUUACUUUUUACUUUUUAUUAGAUAAAAACUCAAUAAAUAGACCGUGACUAGUUUUAUAGUGUACAAUUACUUGAUUGCAUUUGUUCCACUUGUUUUGUAUUUUGCUUAUUUUAUUCUUGUUCUUGCUACUUCCAUUUCACACCACCCAUUACAAGUAACUUUGAAUUAAGGCCAUCUUGUAAUUGGGUUGAGGACUGAAUUUAACAUUCACAUCCUAUAAGCACUAAGUUUUCUUCAUUACAUUGAUAUAGAGUAUUCUUUGUCUUAGUCACGGACAAUUACGAAAUGAAAUGAAAUAAACAAAAGAACCGGAACUGCGCGGCCACAGGCUCACAACCCUAAUCCCAUCACCCUUUGGUUCCCUGAGGAUUACGGUAAGAGAUGUAUCUUCGAGGGAACAUUGCAAUAGUAUUAUUGCUCUGCAAUGGGCAGUUAAAAUCGUGUGUGAGAUCUUUGCAUAGCAGAUUGAUGCAGCCAUUGCUGCCCUCACAGUGUGCGCUAGGCGGCUGGGGAGUGCGGCGGGCUGUUUCGCACAGUCUCCCCUGAUCGGGAUUUGCGGAGCCCAUUUCCCCCUCAGCCCGACGCAUCUUCUUCUGGCUAUGGUUUGCAGGUUGGCUUCCGACAAUACCUUUGUCCCUCAUCCUAUUGGUUCUCCUUCCUUCCCGCUCGCAAUCGCCGCCUCCGCCCCCGCUCCCGCCCCCGCUCCCGCCCCCGCUCCCGCCCCCGCUCCCGCCCCCGCUCCCGCCCCCGCCUUGUGAUCGCAUCUCAUCGUUUACAGAUCUAGGCCUUCAAGUUGAUUUUUUUAAAAUGGCAUAGAAUCAUCACGAAAAAUUUCUCCCUUUCGUGUCAUUGGUUGUCAAUCACCCACAAAAAAGAUCGUGUGGAACAAGUUGAUUAUCAAAUUAUAGAUUACUUAUUAAUUAACAAUAGUUUUGUAAUCAAUCUGUGUAGCUCACCAGAUUCUAGAAGCACGUGCAUGCUAAAUACUUAAGUUUGACUUCUGAUUCCCACUUCCAUCAUUAGUGGAUUUUUGGUCAGAAAACAAUGAUCUUUGUGUCAUGUAGCUGCCCAACUUUUCAGUUGGUCGAAGGGGGUUUUUAUAACGUGAAGCCCACUUUGAAAGCCCUAGGUCCGAAAGCCUCACGAAGAUCCCUGUUUCAUGAAGGACAGAUGUCUUGAUCCUCGGCCUUUGGAGGCAAGUGUCCUAAAACUUGACCUUUGGAGAUGGAGGAAAAUAAAUUAUGCACACCACCCUCGCCCUUUCCUCACAGAUUCUUCUAAAUACAAAGGCAACCAAGCAGUGUCUGACUAGGCAUUUCUUUCAUCGAACGCGUCCUCUUUGGUUCUGCAAGUUGCUGCUCCCGGUGUCCACCCUCUCACCGCCCCAGACACAGCUACAAAUGAUUCCAACACCAUUUGGGUCAGGCCGGAAUUGAGUUUUUUUUAGUUAGAAGUCUUUUUAGUUCGAUUUGGCUGCAUGCCAACUGACUUGCAGAUUAAAAUUGUCCAAUCAGUUUCUGCCCCUAAUGGUACUUCACUGCAUUAUCGUUAAGUCCAUCUCUUUCGUGUGAGUCUGGUGUGUGUGAGAAGAUUCUACUCCAGCUUUGUUGGGUUCAAUGAACUUGUGUGGAUCUGUCACAAUCGACAGAGUCUAGAUGUUAUGAAUGUUGAGCUGAAUGUGUUGGCCUCUGGUUGGAUCGCUGCUAGCCUGCCAUUUUUUACGCUGUCCUGCACUUCCUUCAAGCCUCUAAUAGAAAAUAAGCCUUGACUUGCUACAGAUGAUUAUGCUGUUUUAUCUUCUUUCGGGCUGUUUUCUUUUGCUCAGGUUUGCCAGCCUUCUUAAUUCAUAGUACAACAUUUUGACGAAUUGUGUCAAAAAGUGGCGAGGCGGAAGGACCUAUCUAGUUCGGUAGCGACUUUAGAGUUUCAAUGAGCAACUCGUCACAGCUCGCUGCAGUAAAUGGUGUCCAUCGUCGAGGCAUCGGAGGGGAACAUUAUGUUUUGCAGAAUUGCAAAACAUAUACCCAGUUUGGAUUUGGGCGGUAUUGUAGCUUUGGUGGGCAGUAGUGCAUCCGCAGCUGCACUUCCGUACACUUGUAUAAUUCGAGGGCGGUUACCAUACUUGAAUACCUAUGUAACUCCAGGGACUUUAGGCCUUGCUUAUGCGGUGUUAACUUGCAUUAAUUGGCGGCCGGCACAAAUUUUGGCUGGUGCUGGAGAAACUAGGUCAAUGUUAGAACUUUACGGAUUGAAAGCAAGUGGUACGGCCACCUACGUUGGUCUGAAAUCGGGAACAAGUCUGCAAGUCCGAGGUAUUGCGGGAGAUGCGUUGGUGCCGGAGCUUGUGACGAAAGGCAAGAAAAGAGUCGAUGCACAACAUGCCAUUGGGCGACAAUCUGGGAGGCCAACGCUUGUCAUUUGGGCGGACAUUAUUAGCGAUGUUGACGGGGAGGUGGUUGUUUGGAAUGAGAAUGGAGCUUUGAUAAGUGUGAUUGCCACUCUUGUGUCUUCUGUAGCGGCAGUUUUAUGUGCCCUGUGCCAUGAAUGGCUCUCGCUUUCUGUGGUAGUUUCAGGUAUGCUUCUGAAUGCCGCCUUGGGCUUUUUACUUCGACAGCGAGUAUAUAAAUUUGUCAAAACGCAAGCGGCACAGGGAUCGCCUCCUGGAGAUGCUUUGGUAUUGCUGAAUGAUGAACCGGAUGCACUCUGCGUGGUGCGGGGCAGCGAGAAUGCCAUUCAGAGGCUGUUUCAAAGGGAACUGGAAGAAACCGGCUUUACUAAUCCUCUUCCGUUGUUUCUGGUGUGUGUGGCUAUGAUGGUUUACACAGCUGUAGUGGUACUAGGGGUGCCACACAUGGGAGUAACUGGCCAAAUACUAUUAUUGAUUGCCAUCUUUGUUGGAGCAAUAGUUGACUUGGUAAAGGGUAGUUGGGAUGGCAAGAAGGCAAUUGCCAAAGCGGCAAUCGACAAGUACGAAAUUAAAACAGUCAGCGUGAAAAAAUUCGGAAAUCGAACUGCGGCAGUAGCGUGUGUAGCUGCUGGCAGUUCGAAGACAGAUGCGUUGCAACGAUCAGGAGUGUUGCCUGCCACUGGCACGGCAUGGGAAAGUUGGUGGGGAGUAUUGAAUACCCUGGUUCAAGAGGGUGACAGACAGGAUCGGAGUGCACCCCCUAAUCUCGUUGAAAGCAGGUAUUUGCAACUGUCGGCCGAUCCGCUGUGGCCCAUCAUACUAGAUGACAUGUUGAAUGGUUAUUCAGAAGCGUGCCAUCCUCAAGAGGUUGAUGAGUGAUCAAUCUUACCAAUGUGGCCUUUGCCAAUAGUAGGUGAAAUUUGUUCCGAUUUUGGAUGACUUCUUCAAUAGCAUUGAGAUUGCCUUCGAUUCAAUGUGAUGGGUAAUUUUCAAUGUGUGCUCUGAAGUCUCUAAUUUUGUUUUGGGUGCAUCACUUGGGCAAUGGAUAUGUGCAAUUUUGCAAAAAGUAGUAGAGAUUAUGUCUAGUGGUACUUUGCAUUUGGAUCCAUUUGCAUUUUUUUUUAAGUCAUAACAACCAACCCUCUGAAGAAUGUAAUGCCUCUUAAAAUAUUUUAUCAAAUUUUUAAAUGUUGAAUAUUCCAUAUUAUGUGUACCAAAAAUUAUAACUAAGCUCUUAACUAAGAGACCAAAAGUACUCUCUUCUUGGUUUUUCGUACAUUUUUGUUGCAAUGAAUGAUGUUCAUCUUACUUUCAUAAAACAUCCAAUUUUUGUAACAUGGUAUCAAAGUUGGAUGAAUAAUAUCAUAGAUGAUUAUGAUUGGAUAAAAUUUGGAUGAAAAUUAAUGUUUUUUGUAAAUGAAAACUUUGAUGAUGUGCUUGUUGCCUAAGCCUUGUUGCCAUUAGAACGUUGUUAAAGUUGAGGAGCUAUUGGAGUUGUUAGUGCAUUGUUGGAGUUUUGUUGGAGCUGCUAAAGCCCUAUUGGAGCUUUGUUGGAGCUACUAGAGUUGGAGUUUAAUUCUACUAAUGUUGAUUUUUAGUUAAUUAAAUUUUAUUUGUUGAUGGUAAAAAAAAGUGAUACUUCUACUCUCUAUAUAUUAUAUUUUAUAGACUAUUUAUUAAUUAUUUCUUUAUAAUUAUUUGUUGAUAUUGUAUUUAGAAAUGGCAUCUUCAAUGCAUUAUUGCAUUGAUCAAUUAGAUGAAAAAAAUUAUAGCUUAUUGUCAUUUAUUGUGAAACACUUGAUGUGCAUUUAUAAACUUUACAUGUAUGAAGAUAGGACAUUAAAAUAUCCUUACAAGUAUUGAUAAAAAAUUAAAAUAGAAAUCAAGUGAAGCACAAGUAUAACCAUUAAUUGUACUCAAUAUUAAUUCUUUGCAAUUAACUCAUUUAUACAAAUGUAAUAUUGCAAAGGUGUAGAGUGCAUUGGCUAAGAUCCAUAAAUUCUCAAGAGUUAUUAUUUAAAUUAUAUAAUCUUUGAUAUAUGGAUGAAAAAUCUAUGGAGAUUUUUCUUUAAGAGAUUUUUAAUCUUAGAAAUUAAUAUAUUGAAGUCAUUAAUAAAAUAGGCAAAUAAAGCAUGACAUUUCUUAUACUUACUACAUUACCAAAAUCUUAGAAUCCACUUAUUCAAUUGAUUGUAUUGAAAAAAAGAGAAGAGAUUAUAGAAGAGGUAGUACAAUAUAUUUUCUUUAAGAAAGAAAUACUAAAGAAGAAAAAGAUUAGUUUUUUAUUUUUUGCUUUAGUAGUGCAUGUAAAAAGAAAGCAAGAAGUACUUGUAGGGCUUGUGGCCAACAGAGGCAUUGGUAAGGUGAUGCAAAAUAUUCUAAAAUAAACAACAAUGGUAAUGCAAAUUUAACUUAGAUGUCAAUAGAAUCAAUUAGAUUCUAUCUUCAAGUGACUUACUCACAUAAGGUAUACUAGUUGAUAAAACUUAUUUUAUACCUUUUAAAAUUGAAGAAGUUAUUACAACUUCUAAUUCAUCUAUUUUAAGUCAUAUACUUAUUAAAUGACAUUAAGCAUUAGAAACAUGGUCAAUAAGUUGGCCAUGUGCCACACAUGUUAUUAGCUUGAAGACCAAUCUAACUAUGUGGCCCACACGUAGAAAAACUUGCCUUGUAAGUCAAGGCAUGUAUCUUACAAAGUCAACACAUAUUGGAGGUCCUAUAGAACGUCGCCACAUAGCUCCUAGUAAGAUAGUAUAUAUAGAGAGAAGAGUGAAGCCUUCUUUACUCUUGUCAACUCCUUUCUUGCUUCCAAUCUAGUUUCAAGGGUCUCUAGUUUUCUCGGCUUUUGAUAAUAGCCAUUCCAGUUUUAUUCUUAAUAUAUAUUUUAAAUUAUUCCUAUUUUGUCAUUGUGAUUGCUCGUUUUACUUAUUCCAAAUUAAUCUAAUGGAAAUAAAUCUGUAUAGGGAGAUUCGAACACGGGGAAUGACUAGUUUCUUAAGCAUUCACGUUAGGGUCACACAAUCAAUUACCUCUUGAAUGUAUCGUCUCUACUUCUAAUACUGAAUACACAAGGAAACUAUAAUCUCCUCCUUCACCUUAUUGGUCUCUUCCUUACAGCAAUUCAAUCAUACCAAUAACUGCUAUUUCGACCAAUAUAUUCACCUUCAUAAUCUCCAACUAUAAUACUAUGCCUUCACAGCUUUCAACACACAAUUACCCUCAUUCCAAUCACUAGAAUUCUUCACACAAAACUGCCAUUCACAUUACGGUGUUUCACACAAACACAGACUCAUUCUCUUUGCUAAACUACAAUCAGAUUUCAGUAUUCAAUCUUUCUUCUUCUCAAAUAAUACCAAUCACAUUUCCAUUCCAUAAUCCACUUCACAAUAUUCAAAAACUCUCAAUCCUCUUAUUCAAAGAAAAUAACAAACAAAAGAAAAGAGGUAGCACCAAGCUUACCCCGGCUCACAACUAUCACAGUGAUGGCACCUUAAUUAACUUCUACAACUCCUAUAUACUUUCUCCUAAUUCUCUAGAUUCUAAUCGUUACUUUGUAAUUAACUACUUUUAAUAACUAAAUCACUCAUCCGUCCUCCUGAAUUUUCUAUUAUAUGGACUAUUAAUAUAUUUUACCAAUAUCUUUCAAAAAUGAAUUAAUAUCUAUUCUACAUAGCCCAACUCCUAUCUGUAUAGUGUCCUCACAAACACUCAAUUGAUACUUAUCUAAAAAUUAUCUAACAAAACUCUACAAAAAUUGCGAACCCUCUAGCCUAUCUUAUUAAUCAAUUGCCAUAGUAUUUGUUAUUGGUUCCACCGAUUCUGGUUCCAACUACAAAUCUUCGUCCUCCUCCAGUCCUUCUAUCGGUUCCUGCCUCAACUGAGCUGAAAGGUCUUCAUUGUAUUUGCCCAGUUCACGGACUUGAGCUUCUAAUUUUAGGAUAUGGGCAUCUCUUAAUUCCAACUAGCGCUGAAAGUGACUCUUCUCUUUUAGAACUUUGGGAACUGGCAAUGUCGAUACUUAUGCUUGACCAAUAUUGAUUAAAUCCUCUGCCAAUCUUGUCACCUCGACAUUCAAGGCCUCAAUUUCAGCCUUUAACUGCUCCAUUUCAUAUCUGUAUUAGUCGCUUAAUAUCAAUUUCUCUUGUGCCAAAAACUCGAUCUUUACUUGUUCCAUUAUCAAUUGACCCUUCGCUUUUUUUAGUUCCAAAAUUGAAUGACUGCGAGCCCGGAAUAGUUCUUACCUACGGGUCUCCACCAUGCGUUCUCUUUCUUUAUCCUAAGCUUCCUGUUGUUUUCUAAUUUUUUGCUCCAAUAGCAGCUUGGAUUUCGCAUUCGCUUCGAUGAUCCGUUCUUGCUCUUCAAUUCUUUGGAUCUGCUCCAAUAUCACCUUUUUUCUUGCCUCUAAUUCCUGUUUACCACUGCUCUCUACAUCCAAUGCUCGUACCAUGUAAUGUAUUUGUGAAAUGUAUUUCAAUAGAGCAUUUUUAAGAUGUAUGCCUUCUGAUAGUCGGCCCUGUGGAAACGCUAACUGAUUGAUAUCUAACAAUGUCAGGACUUCAUUCUCUUUUUCCACCACCAAACAAAUCGGAUCCGUUUCCGGUUCCCCAAUUUUAUGUAUUAUCUCUAUUGUAUUGACAUUCUAUGCCAACAAAUUUUGUUCUCGUUGCAGAGGCACUGGCAUUGGUUCAAAACUUCCCUCUACUGGCGAUGUUUACCACAAUGUGUACGCGAUCACAACAUACACAUAAUUGGAAUAUAGCAACAUUGUAAACUUUCCUAUUUUGUGCUUGGCUCCCAUUUUUGCAUGAAUACGGGUUGCUACAUAAGCUGCCUAAUUGAACACCAUCCCUUCAAACAUCCCUACUGCUGCAAACAUUAACCGUCUUGACAUAUAUGUGUUGUAUCAAUAUAACCCUAGAUGCCUCAACACGAAGGGCGUUCAUUCCAUGAGCUGAGGUAUAAUUGCCUUAUUCGUCUGCCAACCUUGGUUCUUCUCAAACAAUGACAUGCCACCUUUGAAAUAACUUCCCGGUCGGAAGUCACUGGACUCCUCAACAUCCACCGCAAUCUCUCCAACUAGAAGAAACAAUAUUUUUUUGAGGAUCUUCUCAUCAAUACUGAUAACGCAUCCUUGUACUACGCUCAAUCCAUCCUAUGGGUCAUAGUUCGCGAUGUAUUCUUCCACUAAUGCCACAUUAAUUGAAGGCAAACUAUCUCACCUUCGUAAAAACUGAAACAUUUACGCGUUUCAAAAAUCUCAUAUUCUCCUUGGCAUCUAGCAAAUCUUUAGCUUCAUAGGCUCCAUAUUGGUAACAAUUACUACGGAUGGUGGUUCUAAAUUGCAUUCAGCUUUCACAUUUUGGCCACUUUUCUCUCUGUCUGUAGCUCUCUUUGCACUCUCAAUCGCCAUGACGCACACUCUUUCCAGCUCCAACUGUCAAUACUACCCUCCAGUACUCCAAAACACCCAAAAUUAUAACACCAAAAAGAAACAAUAACAGAAUGCGACACCUUAGAAUGACCGUAAAUGAGUGCCCCACUCUUAUUCUUUUACUUAAUAGUAAUAAUGACAACAUGUUACUCCUACUGUCCAUUUCUCACCUCUAUCUCAUCUAACAUAUUAGUAAUUACCAACUAUCCUUUCAACCACUUCUACAUCCUAACGUACUUAAUUAGGUCUAUCUUAAGUACAUUUGAUGUGACCUCCUCCAGAAAUUAAAAACCCGUCCCGAGUUUUAUGUAUGAUAUAACUGUAAUCGGUUCCCGUAAAUGCAGGCACUGAAUCGAUGACCCAUGAAAUCCUCCAAUUGAAUAGACCCAUUGAAAAACCCUUCAAUCACACAAUAUGGCCUAUGCCAGUGAACUUGAAAUUUAUCCAAAAAAUGAUUAAACUUGCUAUCAUACAACAAUACCAAAUUAUUGGGCAUAAAACUCUUUGGACGCAGUUUACUAUCAUAGUAACUCUUCCGCCAUUUUUGAGUUUCUUCCAUGUUGAAGAGAGAUGUAGCCCGUAUUUCAUCUAAUUUGUCUAACCCUGCCAACCGAUAUUGGAGUGAUUCCUUAUCUCCAAGACGUUCAUUCAACGCAAUGUGCAAAUUAUGAACUUCGAAUUCAAUUGGUAAUAUUGCUUCUUGCCUGUACACCAAUUGGAAUGGUGUAGAAUUGGUAGUCACUUUAUAUGCACUACGAUACGCCCACAAUAUCGCAAAUAAUUUAGUAUCCCAAUCUGUUCCUUCGCCCGAAAUUAUUUUGAUUAAAAUCUUACAUAAAAUACUAUUGGUCUUUUUCAUCUAUCCAUUGGUCCGAAGAUGAUAUGGUGUUGUUUUUCUAUACUUGAUUUUGUAUGUGUUCAUCAAGGCUGCUAUAGUGGCAUUUAUGAAAUGGAUGUCGCGAUCGCUAACCAAUUCUUUCGGACACCCAAAUCGAGUAAUAAUAUUCUCAUACAGAAAAGUGGCCACCGUACUAGCAUUAUCAUUGUGGGUAGCAAUAGCCUCCGCCCAUUUGGUUACAUAGUCCGUGGCGACUAAAAUAUACCACUUUUGUCCAUGUCUCGAUGUUGGUGCAAUGAGUCCAACAAAAUCAAUUCCCUAUUUCUCAAAUAGUGCCUAUGCCAAGAUUGGUACGAACGACAUUACUGAAGUAUCCGUGGGUUGACUAAUUUGUUGAUAUGGAUCACAACGACGAACAAAUUGGUGCACAUCAGAAAACAUUGUCGGCCACCAAUAUCCGGCCAUUAAAGCCUUGCGAGCAGUACUGUCACCCCCAAAAUGUCCACCACAACUAUCCAAAUAACAUCCCUCUAGUAUCGAUUGUACUUCACUAGAAAAGAUGCAACUGCGUAGAAUUCCAUCCCGGCCUUGCUUAUACAAGGUAUCUCCCAUCAUCGUAUACGGUGUACAUUUUAAAAUCAAUCAUUUCUUGAGUUUCUCACUAUAUGUAGGUGGAAAGUUCUGAAAUGUUGGAUAUUGGAUCAAUUCACUAUAGUCGGUUGUAAUCACUUUGACAGUAAAUAGCUGCGCGUCAGGAAGUGCAUCAUUAAUAGGCUCAUUAUUCAAGAUAUUGGACAAUCGGGACAAGUGAUCCGCAUUGGCAUGUUUCUUUCCUGAUCGUACAUUGAUAGUAAAAUUAAAUUCUUGAAGUAAUAACACCCAUCGAGCAAUGCGUCCACUCAAUUGAGGCUUAUUAAUCAUGUAUUUGAGGGCAUCAUGAUCCACAUAAAAGACAAAUGGAUACCCAAGCAAAUAGUACCGAAAUUUCUGAACCGAGUAUAUCAUACUCAAUGCUUCUCGUUCAAUAGUAGUGUAAUUACGUUCGGUAGCCACCAAUUAUCGACUAGCAUAAUAGAUAGGAUGAUCUAGAUCCUGGUCAUUCUUUUGACUUAGUACGGAUCCAAUAGCUACAUUGGAUGAAUCAACAUAUACAUGAAAGGGCUUGAUCCAACAAGGGGCCACCAAUAUUGGUGCAGAGACCAAUUCUGACUUCAAUGCUUCAAAAGCCACAGUACACUCUAUGGUCCAAAUGGAACUAGUCCCAUCUAAUAGAGGUUUCUUUAGUAAGUUCGUUAAAGGUUGAUAAAUAACUACAAACGAACAAAUAAAUCAUCGAUAAUAAGUGACAUAGACGACGAACCUUUGAACAUCAGAGACCGUCUCUGGUUUGAGUAAGUUCAUUAUAUGUGUCACUUUAUCCAGAUCCGUAGCAAUACUACGGCUAGAGACAAUAUGUCCCAAUGAUUUUUCUAAUGGAAUACUGAAUUGAUACUUAUCCAAGUUCAAUGAUAUCCCAAACUUAGCGCACAGAGCCAAGCAUUUGCCGAGACAAUUAAGAUGAUCUUGUUUUGUACUGAAUGAAAAGAAGUCAUCUAAAAAGAUCUCCAUAAAUAGCCAGAGAUAGUCUUAGAAGGCCUAAGUCAUCACUCUCUGAAACGUAGCUUAGGCAUUACAUAAGCCAAAAGGCAUUAUGCGAUAAGCAAAUGUGCUCCAAUCCAUAGUAAUGGUCAUCUUGAUAUGGUCUUCCAUUGCAAUUUGAACCUGAUUAUACCCAAAAAAUCCAUCUAGGAACGAAUAACAUUCAUGACCUACUAUAGCAUCCAAUAUACUAUCCGUGAAGGGCAAUAGAAAGUAAUCUUUCUUGGUGGCUGCAUUAAGUUUCCGUAAAUCUUGACAAAUUCGGAUUUUUUGAUUCUUUUUUGGCACUACCAUGAUUGAAAAAAUCCACUCAAUAUUUGGGACUGGGUAAAUAAAACCAAAAGCAAGAAGCUUGUCCAAUUCCUCCUUCACCAUGAAGGAAUAUUUAUGAUUAAGGUAAUGUUGCCUCUGCUGUACCAGUUUAGCAUUCUCCCCUAAAAUGAUAUGAUGCUCAUAGACUUCAGCGGGAAUACAUUUUAAAUCAUCAUAAAUCCAAGCAAAAGUGGAUUUAUGAUGCAAGAAAAAUUUGGUCCAGCAGGCCAACUCUUAUUCCUUAAUACCUUCAUAGACCUUAAUUGUCAGAGGUUCUACUGUGGUUGCCAAGAUGAUAGUUUGAUAUAAAGGUUCAAUGGCGAUGUUUUGUUUCAAUCCCCACACUGGUUUAAAUUCAGUCGGUAAGUUUGACAUGUACAAAGUAUUGAAUCCUGUGUCCAGGGAACUAAUAUGGUGCACAUCAUACUUGGUCAUCCAAUCAAUACUAAUAUAAUCCGAGUUUUUUGAGUCCAUCGGAUAUAUCAAGUACUCCCCCAAACCUCCACAUUGGUACACCACUCCAAGGUGUAGUGCUCCCUCGAUCGGCGCCUUCGUAAUUAGUACUAUUGCAUCAUCAUCAGAGCUAAGCUCAUCGUCCAACCUUAAUUCACAUGCUGGCAAUUGAGACUCCCUAUGAUAACAUACUAGAUACAUUUGUAACACCAUUUUGUCUCCACCCUUGCUAGUUGUCAAAGUACCAUGAUCCCAAUCGUUUUUUAUCUUUGCUUGAUAAAGCAACAAAUCAUCCCAAUAAAAUUGGAUAUGAUAAAAUCGAACGAUGUAACCGAAAGACGAUAUAGUCAGUUUCAUAUGCAAUAUCGAAAAUCAUAGUUUGAACACUCCAUAAGAUACACAUUGGUUUAACCCGACUAUGAUUUGUCAUCCGUAAUAUCAAUAUCAUGGAUACUAAGUGUUCCAAAUCUAAAGCAUUCAUUGUAUUAGCAUUCAUUAAAUUGAUGCUGGAUCCACCAUCCACAUAAACACCCGAGAUCAUAACACCAUCAAUCGAAACAUCGAUGGUUAGUGCACUUGGGACAAGGUUCAAACUGACUUCACAAACUUCUUUAUUACAGUGCCUAUGCCGUAUUAACGAUGAAUUCAAUGUAGAACGGUAUUCUAGUGCGACCGCUAGAAGUUGCUUCAUAGAAAUAGAAGGCCAAAUAGCAUCCAGAUCCUUCAGAAUAUCAUAGGAUUCCAUAUUUAAGGUAAUUCGUAAUGCCAUCUUUUUUUUCAUUGGUUUGAGUUUAACUCCAUUAGGUAAGAUAUUCUUCUGCCCUAGACUCGAAAUUGGAAUAAUAGUCGAGGCUUCUUUGGAAUUUUCACCUCCGAGAGGAUCUUUCAAUAGAUAGGACAUUUCUCAAAACUGCAUAGAGAUCGAAACUGCUUGGAAUGGAACCGAACCCUCCGUAAUUGGAACCUCAUUGGGUUGUGCUACCGAGUCAAGUUUCAUACUAGGUACAAAGCCCAUAACAAGACUUGGAUUCGAUGGUCCCCUAAUUGGAUCAAAUUGAUCUUUCGCAUCGAGAUUAUCCAAUUGUUGAAUUGGUCCUUUUUCCUUUCGCUGACUCCGGAUAAGAAUGGCUUGGACACAUUCCACCCGAUUUACUAGAGAAUCAUGAGGACUUCGAUUUAUCUCCUCAAUUUUUUCUUGGCUUUGGAUCUACUGAUUUCGAUUAUUGAAAUUGAAGGGAGCAUUACAUUACUGAUAUGUAUGCUCCGAUUGCUUACAAUUUCCACAAACUGGCGCAUAAUCGUGACUCGCUCUAGGAUUGGGACAUUCAUUGGUAUAAUAAUCAAUCUGUCUGCAACGAAAACAAUGAAGUGGUCUUCUUGUACUCCCAUCAUGCAUAUUGGAUAUCUCCACUGGCAUAUACUUACUAGGCUUGUUCCAUGUAGGAUUAGAAAAUGAUCCUGGUUGUCCCGUUGGUACUGAGGGAACUUGAUUUGAUGACGUCGAUAGAGCAUAUUGCUCAUACCUAUGCUCCUCCUUACCAUAGUUCUCGGGGUUCGAUACAGACCUCUAACUAAAAUUGGAACUUUGAAAGUUAUUAAAUACUUAAUUUUAUCGAUUAAAUCGAUUUCUAUUCCAUCCAAAUAUAUUUUCCGUUUGCUCUUGAUUGACGUCCCAUUGGAUUGGUGGAAUCAUGGUCUGAUUAUUAAAUUAUUGUUGUUGUCUUUGCCAAUUCCAAUAAUUUGCUAUUAGGUACUUUCUUCCGUAAAAUGUACAUUGACCCAUUUUUUGUGAGGGUGAGGGGCAUUCUGUUACAGAAUGAUUGUGGCCCUUACAAUUACUGUACCAUACAUUGGUCCAAGUAUUAGUAGGCUUUUGCCUCUUCUCUUUAUCUUUGGCCAUAUUGACGGCCAUUUCUUCUAUUUUCUUCGUCAAAUUCAAUAACAAGGUUUCUUUGGAAUCUUUUAGGGCUGGCAUUAUUAGUAUCUCUAUCAUAGUUAAUACUUGUUGUUGAUAUGAAAAAUAUGGAACAUACGUUGUUGUCACGUUCGGUGGUAUAACUUAUAAUGGAGUGACAUUAAUUGGCCCUUAAAUAUUAGUAUUGGAAUUAGCCCCUGUUUCUAACAUCCGUAGAUAACUACCCAUUGAUUCGUUCCAAGUCAGAUUUUGAUAUCUACUAUGAACUAGAAUCAUCAUGGCUCCCGCAGUUAAAAACUGAUCUUAAUGGCAUUCCUCCCAAACCUUUGCUCUAUUAAAGGAUACAGCCACUGUAAUGAGUUGAGCUUCCUUUACAAAUAUUUUUAGCUCUGGUGGGUGCAAACCAUUGAUUAAUAUGGAUAAGAUAAAUGCCUCCGACAUUUAGUGAUUCGGCCACUUACUGAGUAUAUCAGCCACUCAGCCAUAGUACAAUUCCAUCGCCUCUCUUAGGAUCAUUUUACUGUUCAUUAACUUUUCUCGAAGGCAGUCUUCAAAACCAAUUGGCCGAAAAAGAGAUAAAAAUGUAUUCUUCAAUGCUUGCUAAUUCGGAAAUUGAGCCAUUGGUUGGCGGUUGUAUCAUUCCAAUGCCGUGUCUUUUAAGGUCGCUAGCAGCCAUCGCAACCAAAUAUCUUCAGUUCUACCAUUAUUAGCUAUACAUGUUGUAAGAAACUGAAACAAAUAUUGAUUGGGAUCUGCACUCGAAAAUCUCCAAAAAGUAGGUAGUGGUGCGACACUAGUCAUACGAUUGCCUACUGCACCCAUUUGUACUACAAUCAGAACGGUUGGUCCUCCUGAAGCCAUUGAAUUUUUUGUUCCGCUAAACUCCAUUUUAAAAUAAUUUGUGUUUUUUCUUAAUCUAAUUUUUGAGCUUUCAGUGCUCCUUGAUUUACUGUUAUUUUUUGCAAAUAGUUUUAUUGGUUGAAUUAUAAGUGAAAACAUCAGAUUUUGAAAUACAAUAUAGUUAUCUUUAUUCGCAACCAAUUUGUGCCAAUCUUAAGAGCCCCUAUUGCUCGUUUCAAUGGUACCUCCUACUGAAAAAUUACCCAAUGGAGUACCAAAUUCUUCUACGUCUUCUUCUCUUUCAGUUAACGAACUCAAGAUUUCUACUAGAAUGUUAACAAAAUUUUCCGCGAAUGUUCUUGGUAGUUUUUCUAAUGGUACAUAUGACUGCAGAAAUAAUAGUCUAUGAGGUUUUUGAUAUGUUUGGAUGCACCGACAAGCUUGUAAUCAUGGUUUAAUCUAAUUUUAUCGAUGCUUCUUUUUAAGAUUACGUUCUUGCUCCUCAUUAAGCAAGUUCCUUCCUUGUGCUCUUCCCUGUCUAUCUCUCAACUGAUUUAUUUUCCUCAAUGCAAUGCUCUCGUUCUUAUUAACCAUAAUCUUGCUUCAAACACUACUGAAAUCGUCUUCUAUUGCCAAUUUUCUCACACGUUUGGUAAUUAAUUCAUAACACUCAAAGCUAUUAUCACUCCUCGGCAGUGGCACCAAAAUGUGAUUACUCGUUUUACUUAUUUCAAAUUAAUCUAAUGAAAAGAAACCCGUAUCUGGAGAUUCGAACAUGGAAAAUGACUAGUUGCUUAAACAUUCACGUUAGGGUCAUACAAUCAUUUACCUCCUGAAUGUAUCAUCUCUAUUUCUAAUAUUUGAACAUACAAGGAAACUAUAAUCCUCUCCUUCAUCUUAUUGGUCUCUUCCUUACAGCAAUUCAGUCAUACCAAUAACUGCUAUUUCCACCAAUAUAUUCACCCUCAUAAUUUUUAACUGUAAUAUUGCACCGUCAUAGCUUUCAACACACAAUUACCCUCAUUCCAAUCACUAGAAUUCUUCACACAGAACUAUCAUUCACAUUAUGGUAUUUCACACAAACACAGACUCGUUCUCUUUGCUGAACUGUAAUUAAAUUUCAGCAUUCAAUCUUUCUUCUUCUUAAAUAAUACCAAUCACAUUUCCAUUCCAUAAUCCACUUCACAAUGUUCAGAAACUCUCAAUCCUCUUAUUCAAAGAGAAUAACAAACAAAAGAAAAGAGGUAGCACCAAGCUUAUCCCAACUCACAACUAUCAUAGCGAUGGCACCUUAAUUAUCUUUUACAACUCCUAUAUACUUUCCCCUGAUUCUUGAGAUUCUAAUCGUAAUUCUAUAGUUAAUUCCUUUUAAUAAUUAAAUCAGUCAUCCGUCUUCCUGAAUUUCUUAUUAUAUGGACUAUUAAUAUAUUUUAUUAAUUUCUUUCAAAAAUAAAUUAAUAUCUAUUCUACAGUCAUCUUACUUUGAAAAAAGACUCACUUGUUUAUUUGUUUUUAUCAUAUUCUUAUGCUUGAGAGAUUGACAAGAGUGCACUUACUAUAUCAGAGCUUUGUCUAAUCUUGAUUAAGAAUGAAUUACUCCUUUCUCUUGAUAAGACAUAAGCAUAUUAGAAGUUACGGAUUACCCUCUUCUAUACUGAUAUUGUCCUUAUUAUUUUCUUUGUUCUGAAGUCAUCUCUUCUAUUUGUCUUGAGCAAUAUUAGAUAUCAUCUCUUUUCUAACUAUUAUUAUGGCAGAACUUGCUGAAAUGAAGAGUGCAAUGGCACAAACACAAGAGCAAUUGAAGGAGUUAAUGCUUGCGAUGCAUCAACUCGGUUUACUACGACAAAGAAUAACAAGAUUGGCAAGAAGUGAAGAUAUAGAAAUGAUUAGAGUGGCUUCAACAUGUGCACCAAAUCAUAUCCCUUCUCCUAUAGUGGAACGCCCUUUUAGUCUUAGAAAACCAAGAAUUGUCCUAUCCGAGAAGUUUGAUGGUACCAAAUCAAAGUUUAGAGGAUUUAUCAAUCAAGUAUAACUUGUUAUUAAACUUCAAUUCCAAAGCUAUCCAACUUCUGGAUGGCAAGUUAGAUUCAUUGGUACACUUCUUUUAGGUUCAGCAUUAUCAUGGUUUUCAUCUUUUCUUCAAUGACAAGAUCCAAUAUUGGAUAAUCUAAAGAUUUUUUUGGUGGAGUUUCAAUCCAUGUAUGGAAAACAUGAUGCAAUUCAUAUUGCAACCAAUAAGAUUCAUAUUUUUUGACAAAGCAAUCGAUUAAUAACGUUGUAUGUUUUAUAAUUUUGACAACUUCUAAGUGAUAUCAAGUGAGAUCAUGCUGCACUUAUUAGUCAAUUUCUCUAUGGAUUAUAAUAUGAAAUAAAAAAAUUAAUGCUCAACUUACCUCAUCUUCAAACAUUAAGUGAAGCAAUUGACUUUGCUAUGAAGUGUGACAAUUGUCUUUGAAUUCCGAUCUGAUAACCAUAUAAGUGGACCUCAACGUUACUAUAAUUCAAUGGCAACACCAACAUCUCUUCAACACAUUCAUUCGAAAGUAGAGGAUAUGUAAAUUAAUGCAGUACGUUUCAAACUUCUUAUUGAGCAAAAAAAGACUCAUUAUCCUUAGGAAGGAUUGUGCUUAUAUUGUAGAAAACCUAAGCAUACUGCUCAACAUUGCCCAAAGAAGCGACACAACCAUAAAAUGAGGAGUACGGUGUCAUAUGGCAUGAUUUGCUAUCUCAGAAUACACUAGGUAUGUAGCUAUAGAGAGUGUAGUUUAAACCUUUAUAUGAUUCUUUUCUCAACUUCCAAAACUCUUUUAUUUUUGUAUAAAACUCCAAAUAUACAAAAUCCCUUCAAAACAUAUUUUUUUCCGCAAAGGAUUUUCUUGCCCCGAACUUUAGGAAACCAUAAUUAUUGAUCUAACCGUUCAGUUUGUCUCAAAUUUAUAGGAUAGUUAGAAUUGACUUUUAACUUUUAUCACAAAAAAAACCAACUGCAAAUUCAAUUUCGAUCUUUUGGCAUCUAAGAAAUCCUAGUAGGCACUCUAAAUCCUAA
rnacentral:lncRNA from 1 species